rnacentral:lncRNA from 1 species
GAAAUGUGAAAACCACAGUUUUUUCUAUUAGCCAUAUAGGGAGCUAAAUAGUAGAAAAAAUGAAAUUUGGAGAAGGCAAUGGCAACCCACUCCAGUACUCUUGCCUGGAAAAUCCCAUGGGCGGAGGAGCCUGGUAGGCUGCAGUCCAUGUGGUCGCUAGGAGUCGGACACGACUGAGCGACUUCACUUUCACUUUUCACUUUCAUGCAUUGGAGAAGGAAAUGGCAAUCCACUCCAGUGUUCUUGCCUGGAGAAUCCCAGGGACGGGGGAGCCUGGUGGUCUGCUGUCUCUGAGGUCGCACAGAGUUGGACCCGAAUGAAGCGACUUAGCAGCAGCAGCACAGAAACUCAGAGGCUGUGACACAGCAGUCAAAAAUACAUUAGGGGCAGCAUUAAAAAGAACAAGAUGGUGGAGGAGUGGGUGGACAUGGAGUACAUCUCUCUCCACAGAUACAUCAGGAAUACAACUUCAGACACAGAAGUGCAUGCAGAACACCAGCUGAGAGCAUACAGGAGGACCUGAGCAGUGGAAAAGGAUAUAGAGAACCACGGAAAAGAUCUUUAAUGUUUCUACAAUGGAAAGUCUAUGAACUUCUACUGGAGUGGGAAAUUACAUUACUUAGAGAAGGCAGAGCACAACAAUGCUGGAGACCUGGCCAAUGUGAUCUUCUCUAAGGGUGCCUGCUGCCUGUUUCUGACGGGAAGAUGUAAUAAAAGGUUGAAUAACAUCUUUGGGAUUCAUAAAUUAUGAAUGCAGCCUUUGGUUGAUGCCGUGGUCUCAUGGACAUUUAAGAAGACCUGAGACUCCUCUCAUUCCUACUCUCAAAGUGUUAACAAAUCAGAUGAAUGAAGCCUACACUGUGAUCACCAUCCUGAUGCCUGGUCUUUGUGCCUGGCCAUACAAUGAUGGCCUGAAUCUUGGAGAGUUACAGAUAAAUGACAGGUUUAGGACACCAGCCUCAAUCAAACUCCUAACAGUUUACACCCCUCAAUGCCACUUCCUUGUAAAUCCACCCUCUGCAAUCUGGUUUCACCACCCACAGGACACCCCAACCACUCUGGCAGAAUUCACCAGUGUCUUUCUAAUUGUCAAAUUCAAUAGCAUGUGUCAAUCUUGUAAUAUAUUUC